CAAACUUGAGAGUUUGAUCCUGGCUCAGAACGAACGCUGGCGGCAUGCCUAAUACAUGCAAGUCGAACGAGAUCUUCGGAUCUAGUGGCGCACGGGUGCGUAACGCGUGGGAAUCUGCCCUUGGGUUCGGAAUAACGUCGGGAAACUGACGCUAAUACCGGAUGAUGACGAAAGUCCAAAGAUUUAUCGCCCAGGGAUGAGCCCGCG
rnacentral:rRNA from 1 species